rnacentral:rRNA from 1 species
UACGUAGGGUGCGAGCGUUUGUCCGGAAUUAUUGGGCGUAAAGGGCUCGUAGGCGGUUUGUCGCGUCGGGAGUGAAAAACACUGGGCUUAACUCAGUGCUUGCUUCCGAUACGGGCAGACUAGAGGUAUGCAGGGGGAGAACGGAAUUCCUGGUGUAGCGGUGAAAAUGCGCAGAUAUCAGGAGGAACACCGGUGGCGAAGGCGGUUCUCUGGGCAUUACCUGACGCUGAGGAGCGAAAAGUGUGGGGGAGCGAACAGG